rnacentral:rRNA from 1 species
CAAGUCGGUGACGGCAAGCAAAUCUCUUAAAGCCAGUCUCAGUUCGGAUUGUAGGCUGCAACUCGCCUACAUGAAGUCGGAAUCGCUAGUAAUCGCGGAUCAGCACGCCGCGGUGAAUACGUUCCCGGGCCUUGUACACACCGCCCGUCACACCACGAGAGUUUGUAACACCCGAAGUCGGUGAGGUAACCUAUUAGGAGCCAGCCGCCUAAGGUGGGAUAGAUGAUUGGGGUGAAGUCGUAACAAGGUACC